AGUGAACGCUGGCGGUAUGCCUAACACAUGCAAGUCGAACGACAGCACAGUAAGCGUUCGCCUCUAAGGGUGGCGAGGGGCGGACGGGUGAGGCAUACAUAGGAAUCUAAUUUUUCGUGGGGGACAACGGAGGACAACUGCUGCUAAUACCGCAUAUAUCCUACGGGAUAAAGCAGGAGUGCUUCACACCUUGCGCGUUUGAAUGAGACGAUGUCGGAUUAGCUAGUUGGCGUGGUAAGGGCCCACCAAGGCGACGAUGCGUAGCUGAUCUGAGAGGAUGAUCAGCCACACUGGAACUGAGACACGGUCCAGACUCCUACGGGAGGCAGCAGUGGGGAAUAUUGGACAAUGGGCGCAAGCCUGAUCGAGCCAUACCGCGUGAGUGAAGAAGGCCUUCGGGUUGUAAAGCUCUGUUGUUAGGGAAGAACAAAAGCGGAAUAAUCCACGCCCGUUCUGACGGUACCCAAUGAGUAAGCACCGGCUAACUUCGUG
rnacentral:rRNA from 1 species